UACGGGGGGGGCAAGCGUUGUCCGGAAUUAUUGGGCGUAAAGCGCGCGCAGGCGGUCCUUUAAGUCUGAUGUGAAAGCCCACGGCUCAACCGUGGAGGGUCAUUGGAAACUGGGGGACUUGAGUGCAGAAGAGGAGAGUGGAAUUCCACGUGUAGCGGUGAAAUGCGUAGAGAUGUGGAGGAACACCAGUGGCGAAGGCGACUCUCUGGUCUGUAACUGACGCUGAGGCGCGAAAGCUGGGGGAGCAAACGGG
rnacentral:rRNA from 1 species